AGUGAACGCUGGCGGUAGGCCUAACACAUGCAAGUCGAACGGCAGCACAGUAAGAGCUUGCUCUUACGGGUGGCGAGUGGCGGACGGGUGAGGAAUACAUCGGAAUCUACUUUUUCGUGGGGGAUAACGUAGGGAAACUUACGCUAAUACCGCAUACGACCUACGGGUGAAAGCAGGGGAUCUUCGGACCUUGCGCGAUUGAAUGAGCCGAUGUCGGAUUAGCUAGUUGGCGGGGUAAAGGCCCACCAAGGCGACGAUCCGUAGCUGGUCUGAGAGGAUGAUCAGCCACACGGGAACUGAGACACGGUCCAGACUCCUACGGGAGGCAGCAGUGGGGAAUAUUGGACAAUGGGCGCAAGCCUGAUCCAGCCAUACCGCGUGGGUGAAGAAGGCCUUCGGGUUGUAAAGCCCUUUUGUUGGGAAAGAAAAGCAGCAGGUUAAUACCCCGCUGUUCUGACGGUACCCAAAGAGUAAGCACCGGCUAACUUCGUG
rnacentral:rRNA from 1 species